GUUGUGGCUCAGCGGUAGAGCGCUCACCUAGUGAUGUGAGGCCCUGGGUUCGAUCCUCAGCACCACA
rnacentral:tRNA from 1 species